rfam:Vibrio anguillarum 775 chromosome I, complete sequence.
AACGGCUGCCAUAGCUCCGAGCUUAACUGGCUAAGUCUCAUUUUUGUGAGAUAGGGUGGUUAAGCCAGUGGUCUAAUACCACAAGGGCAUAAUUGGAAAUGAUUAUGCCUCCCGUAUUUGGAAAGGUGUUCCGUGGCGCAACAG